AAAAAAAAUCACGAAAAUUUGAAAAGUGAGAAUAGUGAGAUUAUACUUGGUGAUAUGACUUUAGAGGAUUUCUUGAUACAAGCAGGGAUUUAUGCUGAGGCUUCUCCAAGUCCCAUUAUGGGCUUGGAUGCCAUUGAUACUAUGGCAUUGGCAGAGAAGAAUUUUUCACAGAAAAUGGGCUUGUUGUCAUCAUCCCCUUCACUAGGCACACUGUCAGAUACAACGACACCAAAACGGAGAAGGGAUCCCUCAGACACACUAGAGAAGACUAUGGAGCGGAGGCUAAAGAGAAAAAUCAAGAACAGGGAGUCUGCUGCUCGCUCUCGAGCAAGAAAACAGGCCUACCAUAAUGAAUUGGUGAACAAGGUCUCACGCCUUGAAGAGGAGAAUUUAAAGCUCAAGAAAGAGAAGGAAUUCGAGAACACGAUGCAAAGCAAACCCAUCUCGGAACCGAAGUAUCAGCUGCGUAGAACUAGUUCGGCUUCCUUCUAAGCUACAUCCUUCGUUCAAAAGGUAUUAGUUUGGGUUUGUUGGAAGAACAUUGCAUUAGGUAUAUAGAAAGAGUUUGUUGAGUGCAUGUGUGGGAGUGUG
rnacentral:misc_RNA from 1 species